rnacentral:rRNA from 1 species
GUGGGGAAUAUUGCACAAUGGGGGAAACCCUGAUGCAGCGACGCCGCGUGAGUGAAGAAGUAUUUCGGUAUGUAAAGCUCUAUCAGCAGGAACGAAACAAGACGGUACCUGAGUAAGAAGCCCCGGCUAACUACGUGCCAGCAGCCGCGGUAAUACGUAGGGGGCAAGCGUUAUCCGGAAUCACUGGGUGUAAAGGGAGCGUAGACGGCUGAGCAAGCCUGGAGUGAAAGGCGGGGGCCCAACCCCUGGACUGCUCUGGGAACUGCCUGGCUGGAGUGCAGGAGAGGUAAGUGGAAUUCCUAGUGUAGCGGUGAAAUGCGUAGAUAUUAGGAGGAACACCAGUGGCGAAGGCGGCUUACUGGACUGUAACUGACGUUGAGGCUCGAAAGCGUGGGGAGCAAACAGGA